GGGCCAUUAGCUCAGCUGGUAGAGCGCUGCCAUGGCAUGGCAGAAGUCAGCGGUUCAAGUCCGCUAUGGUCCA
rnacentral:tRNA from 1 species